rnacentral:rRNA from 1 species
UACAGAGGGUGCGAGCGUUGUUCGGAAUUAUUGGGCGUAAAGGGCGCGUAGGCGGUGCGGUAAGUCACCUGUGAAAUCUCCUGGCUCAACUGGGAGUCUGCAGGCGAAACUGGCUAGCUGGAGUGUGGCAGAGGGGGGUGGAAUUCCGCGUGUAGCAGUGAAAUGCGUAGAGAUGCGGAGGAACACCGAUGGCGAAGGCAGCCCCCUGGGCCAACACUGACGCUCAGGCACGAAAGCGUGGGGAGCAAACAGG